rnacentral:ncRNA from 2 species
CGCUCAUCCAGAGGGGCAGAGGGAUCGGCCCGAAGAAGCCCCGGCAACCGGCGUUCGCCAUUUCGCACACAGCGAGGACGGCGACGCACACGGUGCCAAUUCCGACCCGCACGCGGGACAGAUGAGGA